ensembl:lncRNA
AUCAGCACACCCAGAAUUAGUAACCUCAUAUUCAAUCCAUGUCCUGUUGUUCAAAGUUAUUUUGAAAUGGGCCGAGUCUUAAUUGAAGUGGAAGUACCUGAAACCAGAGUUAAUAUCAGGAGCAACAGGGAGUCAGAUUCACGGAGGUAAACUGUUGCUAGUUCUGCAUUUCAAGCCCUUUUGGCUCCUGGGCCAGCUGAACUUCUGGUUGUAGGCUGAGCUGGAUGGAGACAGAUGCAGCUCUAGUGAUUCUGCUGAACUUUGGAUUCCCUGGGCACAUAAGAAAAGGGUUGUGCUACAGGGUCCAGGGGCCCAAGUCAGACAGUACCGGGCAUGACUUCCACCAAUAAUUAUGAAGGCUGCUGAAUACACCAGCUACUGCUCUGGAAGCUAGAGACACAAUGGACAAUAGGAUGAGACUGAGUCUGUCCUUGUGGAGCGUAAAUUAUUUUUUACAGGAUCGAUAUAAAUAACCAAGUAAAAAAAAUACAGAGUUUCAUUAACACCAAUAAACAGAGUGAUGAAAAGAGAGUUGCUAUUAGUCCAUUUGCUGUUAUAAUAACAAGGAACCUGAGCACAGACCCGUCCACCUCCUGACAUGGGCUCCCACAGGACACUGCAGUGAGUUCCACACCUUCGACUGCAUUCUUUAGCUCUUCAGUAUGCAGAAAGGCCUUCUGGACCCUUCCUCACCUGACUCUGCAUAAAGACAAUUUUGAGGACUUCUGGGAAGAUGGUAGAGUGGUGAACAACAAAGAAACAGUCUCUCCAAGACUGGGAGUCCAGACUCUGGAAUACAGCAACGUGAGAAAGAGAAGGAGGGAAGUGGGUCCCCGGGACUCAGCAAGGAUCUGAAGUGAGGAUUGAAGGCCAUGAGGAGAGUGAAAAGAGAGACCUCAGUGCAGAAGAAAGAGGUGGCAAACAGCACUUUUUCCCCGAGCCCUGUCUCACUGUGUGGGAGGGGCAGCUCAAACCUACAGAUGCACAGUGAUUACUGGUGACCUUAGAGGCCACCACAGAAAAAUGUACCAAUGGACGGAGCAGUGGACAGCAGACUACAGUGGCUGAAUUCAGCAGUGAAUCCGUCGGGACCUGGACUUUUCUUUGUUGUUUCCUUUUCAAAUCUAGUCUUUCAUCUUUUGAGAAGAGUCAGAUCACUUACAAGAAGAUGACAAACAGGAAAAUUCUCAUUACACAGAAUAAAACCCAGAAGAAAAAGAGUAGCCCAGGACUUUAAAAUGCUGAAAGAAAAUAAAGAAUGAAAGUAAGAUUUAAAAUUAAAUAUUUUAGCUCAACAUCGUGG